rfam:Picoides pubescens contig35230, whole genome shotgun sequence.
CCAAAGGCUCUUUUCAGAGCCACCACAUAACCACUGAAAAGAGCUGU